rnacentral:lncRNA from 1 species
AAGUCCUUGACACAAGCCGGCGUGUCAGUCUCUCUCUCCCGCCUCCUGGGUGAACCCUGCCCCAUAGCGACCCGUGCAGCUGCUUCCCUCAGAGGGUCUGGGGCCUUUGCCCCAGCAGCCAGCUCAAGGAUGCCUGAGAUUCAGGCCGUCGGGCCCGAGCAUGGUACCAGCCUGAGGUCUUGGUGCUGCUACUGUCCCUGCUGCGUCAGCGUCCACCAGUGACUGGACACGGACGGAUGGACGGACAGACGGACGGCAGGGAUUCUGACUGAACUGCUUUGGGAUGUGGUUUGGGAUGUGGCUGAGCUCUGACAUCUUUUAAAAGCCCCUCGGGUGGCUCAGUGGCUCACGCCUGUAAUCCCAGCACUUUGGGAGGCCGAGGUGGGAGGAUCACUUGAGCCCAGGAGUUUGAGACCAGCCUGAGCAACAUGGCAAAACCCCAUCUCUACAAAAAAUACACAAUUUAGCCAGAUCCACUCCUGGCAGGCCUGAGGUGCGCCUGACUAAGGAGCCCCCAGGCCAGGGCUGCUGUCUGUUCCCGGCCAUGGCACAGGUCGCAACUGACCCAGACCCUCUCCCUUGGAAACUGGUCGUGAUCUUGGUCCUUCCCCACAAUUGCUCUGACAGUGACCACCAGGUACCACAGCGGGCACCACCGCCCUCCACCCACGGCGGGACACGGCCCACUCACCACCACCCUCCACCCACGGCGGGACACGGUCCACUCACCGCCACCUGAGGCAGCCCAGCUCCACAUGGUCAGGCCCUGGGUCUGCAGAGUCAGUCAUUAUCGGGGGUCUGGUGGCACCUGGACCCAACCUCAGUCCACCCCUCCUGCCCCUGUCAUGCCCCCACCGGGCCCCCCUUUCCCCAGCAGAGAGGCGGGGCCCCGAGACCUACCUUCAUUCUGAGCACUCAAGGAGGCAGCCAAAAACAGGAGGGUCCCAAGGGCCUGGGAAACGUGGCCAGGGAAUGCCAGGGGGCAGGUCUGCAUGGCUGGUGGGACUUGGGCCCCUGGUCCUUGUCACUGGCUCUUGAAACACUCCCUGGAGGAAGGAAAGCCCAUGGGUCAGAGCCCCCUGCAGCUGCUGAAGGGGACAGCGGGAGCGGCUGUCACCUGGCGGGGGCUGGGAGGCUGGGGGUCCCCGAGCUCUUCCCCGACCUGCUCUGGAUGCUGGAGCCCCUGCCCUCCUUCCCUUCCCUGUGCCUGUAGAGGGUGUGCAAUGCUGACCUCACGAAACAAAGAAGACACGCGGGGGCGGGAGACAGAGUUGCCCGCAGCACAGCGGGGACCCCAUCUGCCUUGCGGGUCAGCCCUUUUGUUUUACAAUAAAUUACUCGUAACUGUGCC